AGAGUUUGAUCCUGGCUCAGAUUGAACGCUGGCGGCAGGCCUAACACAUGCAAGUCGAGCGGAUGACGGGAGCUUGCUCCCUGAUUUAGCGGCGGACGGGUGAGUAAUGCCUAGGAAUCUGCCUGGUAGUGGGGGAUAACGUUCCGAAAGGAACGCUAAUACCGCAUACGUCCUACGGGAGAAAGCAGGGGACCUUCGGGCCUUGCGCUAUCAGAUGAGCCUAGGUCGGAUUAGCUAGUUGGUGAGGUAAUGGCUCACCAAGGCGACGAUCCGUAACUGGUCUGAGAGGAUGAUCAGUCACACUGGAACUGAGACACGGUCCAGACUCCUACGGGAGGCAGCAGUGGGGAAUAUUGGACAAUGGGCGAAAGCCUGAUCCAGCCAUGCCGCGUGUGUGAAGAAGGUCUUCGGAUUGUAAAGCACUUUAAGUUGGGAGGAAGGGCAGUAAGUUAAUACCUUGCUGUUUUGACGUUACCGACAGAUAGCACCGGCUAACUUCGUGCCAGCAGCCGCGGU
rnacentral:rRNA from 1 species